rnacentral:rRNA from 1 species
GAGCAACCGGCCUACUAGAGGGGAAUAACAGUGAGAAAUCAUUGCUAAUACCGCAUAGCCAUGAACAUCACAUGAUGAAAAUGGGAAAAGAGUAAUCUGCUAGUAGAUGGGCUCGGGUCUGAUUAGAUAGUUGGUGGGGUAACGGCCUACCAAGUCAACGAUCAGUAGCCGGACUGAGAGGUUGAACGGCCACAUUGGGACUGAGAUACGGCCCAGACUCCUACGGGAGGCAGCAGUCGGGAAUAUUGCGCAAUGGAGGAAACUCUGACGCAGUGACGCCGCGUAUAGGAAGAAGGUUUUCGGAUUGUAAACUAUUGUCGUUAGGGAAGAUAAAAGACAGUACCUAAGGAGGAAGCUCCGGCUAACUACGUGCCAGCAGCCGCGGUAAUACGUAGGGAGCAAGCGUUAUCCGGAUUUAUUGGGUGUAAAGGGUGCGUAGACGGGACAACAAGUUAGUUGUGAAAUCCCUCGGCUUAACUGAGGAACUGCAACUAAAACUAUUGUUCUUGAGUGUUGGAGAGGAAAGUGGAAUUCCUAGUGUAGCGGUGAAAUGCGUAGAUAUUAGGAGGAACACCGGUGGCGAAGGCGACUUUCUGGACAAUAACUGACGUUGAGGCACGAAAGUGUGGGGAGCAAACAGGAUUAGAUACCCUGGUAGUCCACACCGUAAACGAUGGAUACUAGGUGUAGGAAAUGAUUUCAUUUUCUGUGCCGUCGCAAACGCAAUAAGUAUCCCACCUGGGGA